rnacentral:rRNA from 1 species
UACGUAGGGGGCUAGCGUUGUCCGGAAUCAUUGGGCGUAAAGAGCGUGUAGGCGGCUUGGUAAGUCCGCUGUGAAAGUCCAGGGCUCAACCCCUGGAAUGCCAGUGGAUACUGUCAAGCUAGAGUCCGGAAGAGGCGAGUGGAAUUCCUGGUGUAGCGGUGAAAUGCGCAGAUAUCAGGAGGAACACCAAUGGCGAAGGCAGCUCGCUGGGACGGUACUGACGCUGAGACGCGAAAGCGUGGGGAGCAAACAGG